UGAUUCCGAGGAACCCAUUGAUCC
rnacentral:piRNA from 1 species